GCCCAAGUGGCGGAAUUGGUAGACGCAAGGGACUUAAAAUCCCUCGCUGCUUCGCAGCGUACCGGUUCGAUUCCGGUCUUGGGCACCA
rnacentral:tRNA from 1 species